CACCAUGGACUAUUGGGUGACAGUGAAAAAAGGUCUUUUUACCUCUCACCAGGUCCUGGGCAAGAAUGGACACUCAAAUUAUGACACCACCGGAAGAUGGGAGGGCACCCUGGAUUACAUCUGAAGUACUCUAUAAGUUACCACAGAUCGAGAGAGACAAUAUGGCAUGUGUCCUUUUCUGACUGGCUUAUUUCGCACCACGACAUCCACGUCACGUCAUCACGCGGGGUCCUGACGUCACAGUCAUCUUACAGUUCUGGGCAGGAGCGAAGUGCUAGG